rnacentral:rRNA from 1 species
GACAGAGGUGCCAAGCGUUAGGCGGAAUCACUGGGCUUAAAGCGUGUGUAGGCGGAAUGGUAAGUACCUUGUGAAAUCCCACGGCUCAACCGUGGAACUGCUUGGUAUACUGCUUUUCUUGAGCCACUUAGGGGCAACCGGAACAAACGGUGGAGCGGUGAAAUGCGUAGAUAUCGUUUGGAACGCCAAUGGUGAAAACAGGUUGCUGGGGGUGUGCUGACGCUGAGACACGAAAGCCAGGGGAGCAAACGGG